CAGGAUUCCCCUAGUACUGCGAGUGAAGCGGGAAGAGCUCAAAUUUUGAAUCUGGCGGUCUCUGGCCGUCCGAGUUGUAAUCUAGAGAAGCGUUUUCCGCGCUGGACCGUGUAUAAGUCUCCUGGAAGGGAGCGUCGUAGAGGGUGAGAAUCCCGUCUUUGACACGGACUACCAGUGCUAUGUGAUGCGCUCUCGACGAGUCGAGUUGUUUGGGAAUGCAGCUCAAAUCGGGUGGUAAAUUCCAUCUAAAGCUAAAUAUAGGCGAGAGACCGAUAGCGAACAAGUACCGUGAGGGAAAGAUGAAAAGAACUUUGGAAAGAGAGUUAAACAGUACGUGAAAUUGCUGAAAGGGAAACGCUUGAGGUCAGUCGCGUCGGCCGGGGAUCAACCUUGCUU
rnacentral:rRNA from 1 species